rnacentral:tRNA from 2 species
UCUUCCUUGGUCUAGUGGUCAUGAUUUCCGCUUGUCACUAAACCUGGUAAGCGCGGGAGACCGGGGUUCGAUUCCCCGAGGGAGAG